CGUACACUCCUGCGGGAGGCAGCAGUGGGGAAUAUUAGACAAUGGGCGCAAGCCUGAUCCAGCCAUGCCGCGUGAGUGAUGAAGGCCCUAGGGUUGUAAAGCUCUUUCACCGGUGAAGAUAAUGACGGUAACCGGAGAAGAAGCCCCGGCUAACUUCGUGCCAGCAGCCGCGGUAAUACGAAGGGGGCUAGCGUUGUUCGGAUUUACUGGGCGUAAAGCGCACGUAGGCGGACUAUUAAGUCAGGGUUGAAAUCCCGGGGCUCAACCCCGGAACUGCCUUUGAUACUGGUAGUCUUGAGUUCGAGAGAGGUGAGUGGAAUUCCGAGUGUAGAGGUGAAAUUCGUAGAUAUUCGGAGGAACACCAGUGGCGAAGGCGGCUCACUGGCUCGAUACUGACGCUGAGGUGCGAAAGCGUGGGGAGCAAACAGGAUUAGAAACCCGGGUAGUCCCAUGAU
rnacentral:rRNA from 1 species